CACACCAGAGCACUGGAGCCCUGUCUUACGGUCACUCUGUUUACCAUUCACUGAGGUCAAGAACCCUAGGAACAACAUUGAUUGAGCAACAUUGUGUGGUCCAUUGCUACCGCUCAGCCACAGAGGCAAGCAAACCUGACACUAAUCUUUAGUCAGAGCUGAAGUUCACAUGGCUGUGAUGGGUUUAGGUUUUGCGGUUAAUAUUUAAACCACGUACAGGGCUCGAUUCCAGGUGCUCCAGCCACUGAUAAGGAUGAGGCCAACUCGCAGGGCUUUCUUUCACUCUUUGAUAUGUGUGUGUAACAGUUCAGUCUUGGGCUCCCCGGCUCCUCUCUUCCUCCCGUGAGGUGCUUUUGGCAAGGAAGAGAUUAACAACACAGUUUCAGAGAGCGACUUCACUCAGACAGAUGAAAGUCAAAGUAAUCGACAUUGGGAAGAAAGCAUGAGAAACUGCAAUAAUUGGGAAAAUAUGGGAGACUCAAGAAAAGAUAGAGUCUUAUCCUGGACCAAAGUGGGCCUUGAACUUAUAAAGAUCUCACCUCCACCUCUCAAAUCCUGGCCGUACAGAUGUGCAUCACUGAACAAAUGUGCACCACUAAGGCCCUUCCUCACAGAUUAGGAAGUCCAUGCUUCACAUGUAAAUAAAUUCCCUUUUGAUCUCUGGUUUUA
rnacentral:sRNA from 1 species